GCUGGGUAUGGUGGUGCAUACCUGUAAUCCCAGCUACUCGGGAGGCUGAGACAGGAGAAUUGCUUGAACCCGGGAGGUGGAGGUUGCAGUGAGCCAAGAUCGCGCCACUGCACUCCAGCCUGGGUGACAGAGAGAGACUCUGUCUCCA
rnacentral:SRP_RNA from 1 species